GGUGGCCCAGUGGUAGAGUGCUUGCCUUGCAAGCAUGAGGUCCUGGGUUCGAUUCCCCAGCACCA
rnacentral:tRNA from 1 species